rnacentral:sRNA from 2 species
UCUGGAGUGCUUGGAUGGCGGGUGGCUCUUCUAUUGUUGCGAUACUGCUUGCUCUACUGGUGCCUCUCAGAGGAAGAAGACCCCGCCGCGACAUAGAUUCUCUCGAAAGCGUUCUGGAGAGCAUGGGAGUCCUUACAUUUUUCCUCCACAUACGCCACAGCCGGCCAAGUGUAGGGUUAAGUGCUAGCUUCUCCAUGUCCAUAUCCUCGACUACUAAUAUCUCGACAUCUGGCGCAUCGGAAUUUUCGUCCCGGGAUCUGCUGGACCUUCCUGAUCUCAUUCGAGCAGACGCCGCGUCGCCAGCAAUUAUUAACGAGUGUUCACCGAUAUACUCCAGAAUUGAGGUAAGAAAUAUGGCAGCGGCGGGUGUUAUGUGGCCAAUAUAAUUGGAAAAGCGUGCCGGACCAACAUUCGUCUCACUUAGCCCCUCUCGACGUAGAUGUUCUUCCUCAUCUUCCUCUUCCAUGUCGCCCAAUCGGGUGUAUACCAUGCAUCGCAAGCGAGUAAGCUUCCAUGACCUCUCGAGCUCAAAUUGUCCAGCUGGCUCGCGGCCUCCACGAAAGUCAGAUAGCUCCUCAUCUUCUCCACCACCCAUGUAUUCACUUAGUUCCUCAUCCGCUGCAGAAACAACCUCCUUUGCAAGUCUUGGUUUCAGUACUUCAGCCAAUGCUGGUCUGAUGGCAUUCAAUUUCGUAGAUUUGGCGGCCACAAGGAUGUUGAAAAGUAGGUUGUCUAGGAAACGGUUAAGGAGAGUAAGGGACGAUCGGGUGACGGAAGCACCAAUGGUGCCAGCCGAUGGGUUUACACCAUUGAGGUUUUGGUCUGUGGAUACAAUCUGGGCUGCAGCGGUUGCAGCAAUAAAUUGGGGCUCUGGGUUAACUGGAGGUGGUGACAGCAUGCUUUGCGUCUGCAAGGGAGUAUCGCCAGUCAAGCUCACGCUGCGGCCGUGACGGCCGGAUAUUGAACCGAACGAAUUGGUAAAAUGUUCGCACUGCAUUGUGCCAGGAAUUUUCACAUCAACUUUACAUGAACAUUCGGGUGGGGGAAUAGAUGGAGAGAUAAGGAGGGUCGAGAAGCCGAAGGGGUUUUGUUACGCAAGCGAACCUGUACAAGACCUAUUGCAAAGCAACAAACAGGAAAAGCUUCAACAAUAUCAAAUCACAAAACAAUGAGAAUCUGCACAAGAGACAAAGAGAGGUCAGCAUGCAGAACUGCAACGAUUUUUCAUGUGAGGCUUAUUUUUUCUCGGGUUUUCUUUCCCUGCAGGUCUUGACGGCACCAACUCCCAGUGAUAGAUUUGGCCAGGCAGCUUGAAUUUGCCAAAAAGGUAACAUGUGCGCUAGGGAAGGGGCCAGAAGAAAGGAGAGGAUGAGGAGCGGAGCAGCAGCACUACACCAGUACCACCCCAGUGAGACUGGAGCAGUGGGAGAAAUGGAGGAGCUGGCUGUCAAAGCCGAGAAAGCGAAAUGAUGACAAGUGGGUUUGACAGGACACAAUCCAGCCCGCGAGACGGACACAAGCACGAGCUGGACUAAUGAGAGGAUUAAAAUUGAUUGGAGGGAGAACCUACUCAUGAACGAGACAAGCACAUGUCUGAGUCGUAAAAUCUUGGACAGGCGAGGUCCGUCGGCUUGUGGGAGAUGGAUGGAUAUGUCGAAUGACAGCCCAAUGGACUUGGAUGAUGGAUUGGCACCAAAAUGGGCAGAGGGGAGAAGUGGAGAUAGCAAGCCUCGUCGCACUGGAACUGGGGAAGUCGGUCUCCUAGCGCUCUUAGCUCUGAGGAGGUUGGACUAGCGAAGUUGAAAGAAGAGGUCAAGAGGCGAAGA